rnacentral:misc_RNA from 1 species
AAGAGUAAGGGUCUUCAUGGCCCGACCUCCAACCCUCUGUUGUUAUAACUAUAUCGUUGCUUUGGCGGGACCGCCCGGUCAAACGGGCUGCCGGUCUUCGGCCCGGCAAGUGCCCGUCAGAGUCAAACCAAACUCUUGUUAUUAACCGGUCGUCUGAGUCAAAAUUUUAAUUAUAUUA